rnacentral:tRNA from 1 species
GCGGAAUUAGCUCAGUUGGUAGAGCGGGACCUUGCCAAGGUUCAGGUCGUCGGUUCGAGCCCGAUAUUCCGCUCCA